GUACUCGCUUUGGCAGCACAUAUAUUAAAAUUGGAAAGAUACAGAGAAGAUCAGCACGGCCCCUGCACAAGGGUGACAUGCAAAUUCAUGAAGCAUUCCAUAUUUUU
rnacentral:snRNA from 1 species